GAUGAACGCUGGCGGCGUGCUUAACACAUGCAAGUCGAACGAUGAAGCCCAGCUUGCUGGGUGGAUUAGUGGCGAACGGGUGAGUAACACGUGAGUAACCUGCCCUUGACUCUGGGAUAAGCCUGGGAAACUGGGUCUAAUACUGGAUAUGACUUCUCAUCGCAUGGUGGGGGGUGGAAAGAUUUAUUGGUCUUGGAUGGACUCGCGGCCUAUCAGCUUGUUGGUGAGGUAAUGGCUCACCAAGGCGACGACGGGUAGCCGGCCUGAGAGGGUGACCGGCCACACUGGGACUGAGACACGGCCCAGACUCCUACGGGAGGCAGCAGUGGGGAAUAUUGCACAAUGGGCGCAAGCCUGAUGCAGCGACGCCGCGUGAGGGAUGACGGCCUUCGGGUUGUAAGCCUCUUUCAGUAGGGAAGAAGCGAGAGUGACGGUACCUGCAGAAGAAGCGCCGGCUAACUACGUG
rnacentral:rRNA from 1 species